AAAGUAAUGGCUACCUACCAAUGUGGUCCGAUUAUGGACCAACAGUAUUAACAUGUAAAAAUCUAUAGAAAAUCAAAUGAAAUAAACUGGUACAGUGUACACCCUCUGGAUCAAAUACUGCCAAUGUAUAAAAAAAACUCACCUUGCUGUAGUAGCCGAUGAAAAUGGCAAUCAUCUCGGCCAUCACUGCCACCUCAUCACUCACCCCUGCAUUUCUUUCACACAAGCCAUCACCAAGGCUUGCAUCUCCAGUUACCAGGGGUUGAAGAAAGGGAGAGUGAUGUGUUCCAUGAAGAAGAAGGAGGCUGGUGUUGCAAAGGAGAAUGGCUCGACAACAAUAGGUAUGAGUGGUUCUUUGUUGGCAGCGGUGUGUGCGGCUACCGUGUCGAGCCCUGCCAUGGGUCUGGUGGACGAUAGAAUGUCAACGGAAGGAACUGGACUUCCCUUUGGUUUGAGUAACAACCUUCUGGGGUGGAUCCUGUUGGGUGUGUUCGGUUUGGUUUCGGCACUUAGUUUACACUGCCACUCUUGAAGAAGAUGAGGAAUCUGGAUUGUCUCUCUAAGCCCCAAACUCUUUACUUCCAUUUGGGUGCUGCUGAUUUCUGCAAAUGUUAAUGUUCAAAUGAAUGCAGUAAAACACUACCUUCUUCUGCA